rnacentral:tRNA from 1 species
GGAAUAUAACUCAGUGAUAGAGCACUUGUCUAGCAUGUGCUAGGUCCUGGGUUCAAUCCCCAGUACCA